rnacentral:rRNA from 1 species
CCUACGGGUGGCAGCAGUCGAGAAUCAUUCACAAUGGGGGAAACACUGAUGGUGCGACGCCGCGUGGGGGAAUGAAGUACUUCGGAUCGUAAACCCCUGUCAUGUGGGAGCAAAUUAAAAAGAUAGUACCACAAGAGGAAGAGACGGCUAACUCUGUUCCAGUAGCCGCGGUAAUACAGAGGUCUCAAGCGGUGUUCGGAGUCACUGGGCGUAAAGCGUGCGGGGGCUGUUUCGUAAGUCGUGUGUGAAAGGCGCGGGCUCAACCCGCGGACGGCACAUGAUACUGGGAGACUAGAGUAAGAGAGGGGGAAGCGGAAUGCGCGGUGUAGCAGUGAAAUGCGUAGAUAUCGAGAAGAACACUCGUGGCGAAGGCGGGUUCCUGGACAUUCACUGACGCUGAGGCACGAAGGCCAGGGGAGCGAAAGGGAUUAGAUACCCUAGUAGUC